rnacentral:lncRNA from 1 species
CAAUUACGAGGUGUUUUAUUUUAAAAACACCAUUUGCAUAAGUUUUCAAUUUAUCUAGUACAUAGUUAAGCAGAACCAUUAGAUUUCAAGUCGACGACAUGGGUAUCUUUCAAGUUGGAUGAAGAAAAUGCAUAACCUCCGAUUUUUUUGAAAAAAUUACCACGGACGGAAAACAUAUCAAUCUAUUAGUUCAAAAAUUUUCGUGUCUGCCCUUCCAUUAUGUGACUCAAGA